GGCCGAGUGGUCUAAGGCGCCAGACUCAAGUUCUGGUCUUCGUGAGAGGGCGUGGGUUCAAAUCCCACUUCUGACAAAAAUGUAUUGUUUUUCCAAUUUAUUAUCUUCAAAACUUGAUGCUUAGGAAAUUUAUUUAUGGCCCCAUUAAAUAAAAUCUCGAGGUUUU